rnacentral:rRNA from 1 species
UCCGGAGGGUGCGAGCGUUGUCCGGAAUCACUGGGCGUAAAGGGCGCGUAGGCGGCUUGAUGUGUCAAAGGUGAAAUCCCUCGGCUCAACUGAGGAACUGCCUUUGAAACUGUCUGGCUUGAGGCCGGGAGAGGGUAGCGGAAUUCCCAGUGUAGCGGUGAAAUGCGUAGAUACUGGGAGGAACACCGGUGGCGAAGGCGGCUACCUGGACCGGUUCUGACGCUGAUGCGCGAAAGCGUGGGUAGCAAACAGG